CAAGAGGAGGAGCCAAGAUUCAGAGGGAUGACACGGCUUUCCCAAAGUCUUGUCACCAAGAAGCACAGCCAGUAUUGAAAUCCAGGGAAACAGAAAAGAAGGCACAGGUGCUGGCAUCAGGACUUCCUCAAACUCCCUCAAAGUCUGCAAGCCAACCAAGUACAUCGGUUUCCCCUUUGAGACAUCUUGGCACCCAGCCUUUCUCUGCUUCUGGUCCUCACAAAUCUGAAUGUGUGGAAUCACAUGAAAUUCUCCAGCUUCCUGAUUUCCUCUGGUCAUUAUCCAGGCUACAUGACUUCCCAGCUCUACCUCCAUCCCAUCUGGACUCCAGUGUGGGACCUUGACAAGAAAGAGCCAACCACCAUGCCAGCUCUAGUUCCUAGCAGUGAGAUGCCCUUGGGCAAGUUACCUAAUUUCCUUGCAUUUUAGGGCCCCACCUGUAAAAUGGGAAUAACAGCAGCAUCUCCCUGAGAUGUUCUUUCAAAGAUGAGAAAACAUGAACAACUGGACUCUCUUGCCCAAGCCAUGGUCUCAGUGUUUCCUAAGAUUUAAAACAUUUCAUCCUGAAGACAGACUCUGAGAUGCUCUCUGCACUUGGCUGGAGGAGAGAUGAGCAAUGCUCUGGAAGUGCUGAAGCCCUGGGCUCUUGGAGCUGCCUGCCUGAGGCUGAGCUGUGUGGGAGGAGAAGAAGAACAGCAACAGCCUGGGGAGACAAACACACAAACAAACCUACAAACAAGGGAUGUGUUUGUUACUGAAAGAGAAAGGGCCCAUUCAGCUCUAGGCCCUAGAUGCUCAAUGCUUCCUCCAGGCCUGGAGCCCAGGCAGCUGUCACAUUUAUCUAUCCCCAAAGCCACCUGUGACCCCUGGCUGCUGCACGGGAGGUCCCUGGGCCUGCAAGGGUGGGGGUGGUGACCCUUUCCCUCAUGGCUCAUGGGUUGGCUCCUCAGGCCCUGUCCCAUGGCCUGGGUGGGGUCUCCUUCUCCUUCCUCUUCCUCCACUCGGUGGCUCUAUUCUUAUCCUUCACCUCUGAAGUCCCAGGGACAAACAGUGGGGCCCUCUGGAUGAAGAGAGGGCUUGAAAUGCUGAUGGCUGGAAUGGAGAGAAUUAUUCAAACCAUCCUGGGGUGAGAAAGAGGAGAAGGCAAAGUAACAUUUUUUGAGCACCUACUAUGUGCUUGACACACUGCUGAGCCAUUUCAUCUAAUACUUCCAGCCAAAAGGAGUGGCGGCUCAGAGCUCGAGCAGCUGGCUCUGACUGACAGUGCAUUCCCUUUCCAGGAAAAGAUCCACCCCAUGGGGCUGUGAUGUUAAGAAACAGGACAGGGAAGCAUAAAGGCUACAGUGAGUGAGGGAGUAGCUGACACACAGUAGUGUUCAAUAGAUACUGUGCCCCCAUCCUGAGUCCCUAUGCAUUUUGUAGAAGACUUGUUUAAUGGAAAGGAAAAAACCAUGCUAUAACUGAUCCAUUUAUUUUAUUCAAUAAAUAUUUACUGAGCACCUACUGUGUGCCAGAAACUGUGUAGGGGCUGAAACACAUCAAUGGCCAAGAUGGAAACUGGGAAAGUGCCCCUGCCCUUGCGCAGUUUACAUUCUAGUGGAAUGGCCAGGAGAGGGACCCUUCACGUGCACUUGUCCAGCACAGCUGUGUUGAGUGCUGACUAUGUGUCGGGCUCUGGUCUCUGCAUGGUGUUCUUCAACCUGAGUGUCAGGCUAGGAAGCAGCACUGACUGCCCUGGGCUGUACUGAGCCUCCAUGGGGAUUUCAGAAAAGGUGCUCUUUCUUCUGACAUCUGCCAGAAAAAUGUCUCUAAUCAGUAUGCAAAUUGAUAAUGAUAAUAACAUAUAAACACCAACCUCUGGGGUUGUGCAGUGAACAAACUACCCAACUGUCCCCAACAGGGCUGCUCAGAACCACCCAGGAGCCCCUCCAACCCUGCGUGUAUGUCCCUCCAGUGUUCUUCCACACACUGCAAUAGCUCCAUCAUGAUGCGUACGAAUUGUGAUGAAUGAAAAUAAGAGCUUCCAUUGGCUGAAGACUCACUAAGUUUCCAUAAACCACUAAUAUUCCAAAUUCCCAAUUCCAUUCAGUCCCCGCAUUCCCCUAUGAGGUAGCAUUUAUGGGUUCAGUCACGUGCCCCCAAUAUUCAUAUGUUGAAGUCCUAAGCCCUGACCUCGGGAUGUGACUGCAUUUGGAGAUGGGGUCUUUGAAGCUAUAAUUAAGGUAAAAUGAGUUCAUUAGGGUGGACCCUUAUCCAACGUGGCUGAUUUCUCAAAAGAAGAGAUUUGAACACAAAAGCGUGCAGAGGGAAGACCAAGUGAGGACACAGGCCAGCUACAAGCUAAGGAAAGUGGCCUCAGAAGAAACCAGCUAUGUAGGGACCAUCCCUUGAUCUUGAACUUCUAGCCUAUAGAACUGUGAGAGAAUGAAUUUCUGUUGUUUAAGCCACCCUGUCUCUGGUACUUUAUUGUGGCAGCCCUUGCAAACUAAUACAGAUAGAUUCUAUUAUUUCCCCCGUUUUUACCAAUAAACACACUGAGUCAGUGAGAGGUUAUGUACCAUGUCCAAGGUCACGAGCUAAGAGGUAGGGACGUGGGGUUGGAACUCAGCUCUGAUUCCACACCCAUGCACUUAGCCCCACUGCACUGCACAGAUUUUUCCUUUUUAAUCCCUUUUUGGCCCCUUCAGAGGGGCAUGUCUUAACUGGAUCUCUGCAGGGUGAGCAUGUCAAAAGAGAGGUUGGCACUGAGACUCCACACAUCCACAAACCCUUACCCUGGGCCAGCCCUGCAGAGCCCUGGGCCAUGGGCUGUCUGCCCAGGCAUCUGGGACAAGCUAAAGAAGUUCUCUACUCAUUCUGUUUUAUUUUCUAAACAUUAUUGGUCUUUGGAAGUAGUGACCUUUGAAGAAAGAAAGAAAAAUUCCAGAUAUUCCAAAGAUAGUGAGUAAUCUCUGCAGUCAACCCUAGACCAGGGAAGAGCAAGGAUUCUCUGUGAAGAGCCAGACAGCAAACCUCCCAGGCUCUGCUGGCCAGAAGCGUGUGGCAGCCACUCCACUCCACCACCUCAGCUCAAGACCGCCAUAGGCAGUGUGCAAAUGAAUGAACACAGCUGGCUUCCAUUAUAGCUUUAUUUAUAGACACUAAUAUCUGGAU
rnacentral:lncRNA from 1 species